rfam:Lupinus angustifolius cultivar Tanjil chromosome LG19, whole genome shotgun sequence.
AGCCAUGUGGUAAGCACAAAGCAAACUAUUCUUUCGCCUUUUACUAAAGAAUACCGUGUGCUUGCCACUUAUAGUGGCCUACGCCAAUUUUUGGAAGGGGCCUGAAGGCCCUU